rnacentral:rRNA from 1 species
CAGUAGCCGCGGUAAAACCGAGGGUGCAAGCGUUAAUCGGAAUUACUGGGCGUAAAGCGCGCGUAGGUGGUUCGCCAAGUUGGAUGUGAAAUCCCCGGGCUCAACCUGGGAACUGCAUCCAAAACUGGCGAGCUAGAGUAUGGUAGAGGGUGGUGGAAUUUCCUGUGUAGCGGUGAAAUGCGUAGAUAUAGGAAGGAACAUCAGUGGCGAAGGCGACCACCUGGACUGAUACUGACACUGAGGUGCGAGAGCGUGGGGAGCAAACAGGAUUAGAUACCCGCGUAGUCCCUGUCUCUUAUAC